rnacentral:rRNA from 1 species
GAUGAACGCUAGCGGCAGGCUUAACACAUGCAAGUCGAACGAACGUAGCAAUACGUUAGUGGCAGACGGGUGAGUAACGCGUGGGAACGUGCCCUUUAGUUCGGAAUAACUCAGGGAAACUUGAGCUAAUACCGGAUAAUCCCGAGAGGGGAAAGAUUUAUCGCUGAAGGAGCGGCCCGCGUCUGAUUAGCUAGUUGGUGAGGUAAUGGCUCACCAAGGCGACGAUCAGUAGCUGGUCUGAGAGGAUGAUCAGCCACACUGGGACUGAGACACGGCCCAGACUCCUACGGGAGGCAGCAGUGGGGAAUAUUGGACAAUGGGGGCAACCCUGAUCCAGCCAUGCCGCGUGAGUGAUGAAGGCCUUAGGGUUGUAAAACUCUUUUGUCCGGGAAGAUAAUGACUGUACCGGAAGAAUAAGCCCCGGCUAACUUCGUGCCAGCAGCCGCAGUAACAC